AGUCCUGAAGGAUGAGUGGUGUCGGCGAAAAGAUGAGACAGGAGUCGUUCCGUUGGAGCAAUCUCCAGAGAGAGAGCUAAUGCAGCUUUCUCUGGGUCAUCUUUUAUUACAAUUUUUCUCAUCAUUAUAGAUUCAGAAUACGUCACUGAUUAUAUAAUUUAAAACUUUGCCAAGACAUGACAUUUCCUUAACCAUGAUUGGGGGUACAAAAAAUGUAACAUUGAUUUACAUUUUUCCAGGAUAUGUCCUUCAGUUAUAUAAUUAUUAAAAGUACAGAAUCAUUAAUAAAAUACGUCACUAAUUUACAUUUUUCAGAUUUUCCCAAGAUUUACUAUUUUUCCCAAGAUAUGUUAUUUUCUUAUUAACUAAUGCCAAACUACAUAACCAGACUCUAAGUCUCCUAACCAAUCAUUAACCUAAAGUACACUUGUACUUUAUUUCUAAUCUAAAAUUCCCAUCUAAAAAAGUCCCUUUAAAUCUUAUAUUUAAAAUAUCCUAAAGUUUAUGAAUCAUUCUUAAAACAUAUCAGAAACCUAUACAACUAAAAACUUAAGAAUUUCUAAACUUAAGAAUCUAAAUAUGGGCUGGGGAUGUGGCUCAAGCGGUAGCGCGCUUGCCUGGCAUGCGUGCGGCCCGGGUUCGAUCCUCAGCACCACAUACAAACA
rnacentral:lncRNA from 1 species